UAACCACCAUCAACCGAUGAUUGGCACACAAACACAAAACAUAUGCAUACAUGAACGUGAAAACUUGUGAUAUAUGUAUGUAUGUAUGUAUGUAGGAAGGUAGGUAGGUAGGUAGGUAGGUAGGUAGGUAUGUAUAGUUAUAUAUAUAUGUGUGUGUGUGUGUGUGUGUGCGUACAGGGAGGAAAUGGGAGUAAGGAUGGGAACAGAAUAGAGGGGAGAAAUUACGCAUUUAUUUAUUUAGUUGAUCCUCCCGUAAAGAUAUAAGGUGAUACACAAUCAUUCAACCAUGAGUGCAUUGCAUCUUAUAGCAGAAACAACUGUAAGCUAAUGCAGCACAUUUCCCUUCCGCGUACGAAUUAUCCGGCAUGUUGCUACAAAUUGUGCGUCUACUACUCACUCUUACGCACACGCCGUGCAACAAAUGCCAGGUACUUGACCCAGAUGCAAGACAAUGUGACUGAACUCGCAAUAUCAUGAUUAUGAAGAAAGCUUCCUAACAAUUCCCUUACGCUGUGUCCACACCUACAGACUCAUACACUCGUACACAAACAAACACACACGUAUACACUCACACAUAUAGAAAUGAUGUAACUGAAUACGCUGGAAAUAACGUGUAUGAACAGAUAUUUAAAUACCCGUAUAUAACAUCAUUUGUGCUAAACAAACAUUACUGCCAUUGAGUAUAGUUUAACCGAGUCUUAUACACACACACACACACACAUAUAUAUAUAACAUAAAAGAAUAAGGAUCUGGAAUCCGAGCAGGAACCUAACUAGUACUUUGCUGGAUGUUCCCUACCAUUGAAUGAUUGGGAGCAUACAGAAUUGUUUAACAUUUACACGGUACUUUUCUCAAUAGGUAAAUCCAGAUUUCGCUUCAUUGGAUUCCCUUCAGCAUACAAGUCAUUUGACUACGGCCAUGCUGGGGCACCGCCUUGAUACGUAGACCAAUUUUGAGCUAAUUUUAAGAAACAGGGAAAUGCAUAUUUGUCACAUACCUGGCUAAUUCUCGUAGGAAAGUUUUGAAAUGCGGACAUUCGGAAUCUGCCAAAUGCACUCACAAGGCUUUGAUCGACCCGAGGCCACAGUAAAAGACAUUUGCUUAAGGUGCUAUGCUGAGGGACUGAACCCUGAACCAUGUGGCUGAGAAGCAGGCUUCUUACCACGCAACCACGCCUGUGCCAUACGUUAUCUUCAUAAAGUUGAAAUGCAAAGUUAACCUCGACAGGAUUUAAACUCAAAACGAAAAUGUCCGGAAUUAAUAUCGUCUUUUGCUCCCUCACUUCGUCAGUUCUAUCACUUUCCUAAUAAACGUUGUAUGAUAUUUA